AUACGGAGGGUGCAAGCGUUAUCCGGAUUCAUUGGGUUUAAAGGGUUCGCAGGCGGCGUAUUAAGUCAGUGGUGAAAUCCCGAGGCUCAACCUCGGAACUGCCAUUGAUACUGGUAUGCUAGAGUAUAGUUGGCGUUGGCGGAAUGUAUCAUGUAGCGGUGAAAUGCUUAGAUAUGAUACAGAACACCGAUCGCGAAGGCAGCUAACGAAACUAUAACUGACGCUCAGGAACGAAAGCGUGGGGAGCGAACAGGAUUAGAAACCCCAGUAGUCC
rnacentral:rRNA from 1 species